rnacentral:tRNA from 1 species
AUAAGGUGGCUGAGAUAUUAGGCGUUAGAUUGUAAAUCUAAAAACAAGAAUACUUUCUUAUCAA